UUUAUGGGGUGACUGCGUACCUUUUGUAUAAUGGGUCAGCGACUUAUAUUCUGUAGCAAGGUUAACCGAAUAGGGGAGCCGAAGGGAAACCGAGUCUUAACUGGGCGUUAAGUUGCAGGGUAUAGACCCGAAACCCGGUGAUCUAGCCAUGGGCAGGUUGAAGGUUGGGUAACACUAACUGGAGGACCGAACCGACUAAUGUUGAAAAAUUAGCGGAUGACUUGUGGCUGGGGGUGAAAGGCCAAUCAAACCGGGAGAUAGCUGGUUCUCCCCGAAAGCUAUUUAGGUAGCGCCUCGUGAAUUCAUCUCCGGGGGUAGAGCACUGUUUCGGCAAGGGGGUCAUCCCGACUUACCAACCCGAUGCAAACUGCGAAUACCGGAGAAUGUUAUCACGGGAGACACACGGCGGGUGCUAACGUCCGUCGUGAAGAGGGAAACAACCCAGACCGCCAGCUAAGGUCCCAAAGUCAUGGUUAAGUGGGAAACGAUGUGGGAAGGCCCAGACAGCCAGGAUGUUGGCUUAGAAGCAGCCAUCAUUUAAAGAAAGCGUAAUAGCUCACUGGUCGAGUCGGCCUGCGCGGAAGAUGUAACGGGGCUAAACCAUGCACCGAAGCUGCGGCAGCGACGCUUAUGCGUUGUUGGGUAGGGGAGCGUUCUGUAAGCCUG
rnacentral:rRNA from 1 species